UACAGAGGGUGCAAACGUUGUUCGGAAUUACUGGGCGUAAAGCGCGUGUAGGCGGCAACGCAAGUCGGAUGUGAAAGCCCAUGGCUCAACCAUGGAAGUGCACUCGAAACUGCGUUGCUAGAGUCUCGGAGAGGAAGGUGGAAUGCUUGGUGUAGAGGUGAAAUUCGUAGAUAUCAAGCGGAACACCGGUGGCGAAGGCGGCCUUCUGGACGAGUACUGACGCUGAGACGCGAAAGCGUGGGUAGCAAACAGG
rnacentral:rRNA from 1 species